rnacentral:rRNA from 1 species
CAGCCCUUGACAUGUCCAGGACCGGUCGCAGAGAUGUGACCUUCUCUUCGGAGCCUGGAGCACAGGUGCUGCAUGGCUGUCGUCAGCUCGUGUCGUGAGAUGUUGGGUUAAGUCCCGCAACGAGCGCAACCCCCGUCCUUAGUUGCUACCAUUUAGUUGAGCACUCUAAGGAGACUGCCGGUGAUAAGCCGCGAGGAAGGUGGGGAUGACGUCAAGUCCUCAUGGCCCUUACGGGCUGGGCUACACACGUGCUACAAUGGCGGUGACAAUGGGACGCUAAGGGGCAACCCUUCGCAAAUCUCAAAAAGCCGUCUCAGUUCGGAUUGGGCUCUGCAACUCGAGCCCAUGAAGUUGGAAUCGCUAGUAAUCGUGGAUCAGCACGCCACGGUGAAUACGUUCCC